AGGCUAGCCCAGACUUCAGGUACGGGCUGUGAUGACGAGGAGUGGGCUAGUCUCCCGGGUCGGUCACCGCUGAACUCUCAGGUUGCUGCAAAGGCCAUUAUUUUGUUCCUUUUUCUGGCUGAGUCAUAUUCCAUGAGACAAUCAAGCUUUCGAUGAUCAUGUGAUGAGGUUUCCAGUCAGUUCCAGGUGAAGACACCACUGGCCAUCAAGAAGCUACCCUCUCCCCACCAGACAGAGCAGGAUGAGAGUUCUAUAAUCCUCAAUAGGAGGAAGCACUCAAUUGAACAAGUGCAGGAACCAGCUGGCUGCCUCAGCACUGACAGAAGCAAAUUCCAUUUGCUUGGACCCACUGCAUUCCAUCCCUUGUGGAAGAGAGCAUGUAAGCAAGUGAGUGCAGGAACUGGCUGGCUGCUUUGGUGCUGGCAGGAGCAAACACCAUGAAGGCCCCAUGGCAGAGUCCAGGACAGGACCUUCAGGCCUCUGAAAAAAAAAGGAUCAAAGAACUGAAACUCACCAGAUCACCUCACCAGAUGCUGGACCCCUCAUUCACCAUGUUUGCUUCCUUGCCUCUCCCUAGUUCUUAUUUUCUUACACAUUGUUACAUUUCUUCCCUGCUAUAUCAACCCCUAGUUCUAGUCAGUCAUGGAGAUGGAUUUGAGACUGAUCUCCCAUCCCCUCAGCUACACCACCUGAUUAAAGCCUUCUUCCUUGGCAAUAA
ensembl:lncRNA novel transcript